rnacentral:rRNA from 1 species
CCUACGGGAGGCUGCAGUGGGGAAUCUUGGGCAAUGGGCGAAAGCCUGACCCAGCAACGCCGCGUGAAGGAAGAAGGCCCUCGGGUUUUAAACUUCUUUUAUCAAGGACGAAACAAAUGACGGUACUUGAUGAAUAAGCCACGGCUAACUACGUGCCAGCAGCCGCGGUAAUACGUAGGUUGCAAGCGUUAUCCGGAUUUACUGGGUGUAAAGUGCGGGUAGUCGGGACUGCAAGUCAGAUGUGAAAACCAUGGCCUCAACCCAUGGACUGCAUUUGAAACUGUAAUUCGUGAGUGUUGGAGAGGCAGGCGGAAUUCCGGGUGUAGCGGUGAAAUGCGUAGAUAUACGGAGGAACACCAGUGGCGAAGGCGGCCUGCUGGACAAUAACUGACGCUGAGGCGCGAAAGCGUGGGGAGCAAACAGGAUUAGAUACCCGUGUAGUC